rnacentral:rRNA from 1 species
UACGUAGGGUGCGAGCGUUGUCCGGAAUUAUUGGGCGUAAAGGGCUCGUAGGCGGUUUGUCGCGUCGGGAGUGAAAACCAGGUGCCUUAACACCUGGCUUGCUUUCGAUACGGGCAGACUAGAGGUAUGCAGGGGAGAACGGAAUUCCUGGUGUAGCGGUGAAAUGCGCAGAUAUCAGGAGGAACACCGGUGGCGAAGGCGGUUCUCUGGGCAUGACCUGACGCUGAGACGCGAAAGCCAGGGGAGCGAACGGG